CCUACUGGUGGCUGCAGUGGGGAAUAUUGCACAAUGGGCGCAAGCCUGAUGCAGCCAUGCCGCGUGUGUGAAGAAGGCCUUCGGGUUGUAAAGCACUUUCAGCGGGGAGGAAGGCGGUGAGGUUAAUAACCUCAUCGAUUGACGUUACCCGCAGAAGAAGCACCGGCUAACUCCGUGCCAGCAGCCGCGGUAAUACGGAGGGUGCAAGCGUUAAUCGGAAUUACUGGGCGUAAAGCGCACGCAGGCGGUCUGUCAAGUCGGAUGUGAAAUCCCCGGGCUCAACCUGGGAACUGCAUUCGAAACUGGCAGGCUAGAGUCUUGUAGAGGGGGGUAGAAUUCCAGGUGUAGCGGUGAAAUGCGUAGAGAUCUGGAGGAAUACCGGUGGCGAAGGCGGCCCCCUGGACAAAGACUGACGCUCAGGUGCGAAAGCGUGGGGAGCAAACAGGAUUAGAUACCCCUGUAGUA
rnacentral:rRNA from 1 species